rnacentral:lncRNA from 1 species
AAUUGUUGAAGACCGCACCUAUGGAGGCUAGGUCUUAGAAAUCUGUUUCCAAUCAGUACUGUUGGAAAGUGAAAACUCAUGCUAAGAGGUUUUUAUUUUUCCCGUAUAUAAAAUCUUUCUUUUAUUAUUUUAAUUCUCAUCCCUCUUUUUUAAAAAUUUGCAAUUCGUGGCAUUUUUGCAGAAGCAGUCUCGGCCUCUCGUUCCUCUUUAGGAACUCAAAUCUGUUUAGGUAGAGGUUGAGAUAUUCUUUUGAAGAGAAAAAACAUUGAAGAUGAUGACUUCGAGGAGGAAGAUGAAGGCGGCUAUUUGGUAACGAGGCCAAGAGCUAGGAGACGUAUUGUGUCUGAUGAAAAAGUUGAGGUUUCUCCUCGUGCCUCCCCUAAC